GUUUUUAUAGUGUAAUGAACAUAUUGUCCUUUCAAGACAAAGAUAAAGUAUUUUAAAAACA
rnacentral:tRNA from 1 species